AUACUUAUCUGGCAGGGGAGGUACCAUGAUCACGAAGGUGGUUUGCCCAGGGAGAGACUUAUCCGUUACACUCCGGAUGUGCUGACCCCUUAGAUUUCACCAGAAGUGGGAAACUUGACUACAUAAUUUGUGGUAGUGGGGACUGCCUUCAUGCUCUCUUCU